AGAGUUUGAUCCUGGCUCAGGACGAACGCUGGCGGCGUGCCUAACACAUGCAAGUCGAGCGGAGGGAUACGAGGAGCAAUCUGAGGAUUCCUGAGCGGCGGACGGGUGAGUAACGCGUGGGCAACCUGCCUUGCACUGGGGGAUAACGCGGCGAAAGCCGCACUAAUACCGCAUAAGACCACAAGGGCCGCAUGGUCCGGGGGUCAAAGGAGCGAUCCGGUGGAAGAUGGGCCCGCGUCCGAUUAGGUAGUUGGUGGGGUAAAGGCCUACCAAGCCUGAGAUCGGUAGCCGACCUGAGAGGGUGAUCGGCCACACUGGAACUGAGACACGGUCCAGACUCCUACGGGAGGCAGCAGUGGGGAAUAUUGGGCAAUGGGGGAAACCCUGACCCAGCAACGCCGCGUGAGGGAAGAAGGUCCUCGGAUUGUAAACCUCUGUUCCUGGAGAAGAGAAGAAGACGGUAUCCAGGGAGGAAGCCCCGGCUAACUACGUGCCAGCAGCCGCGGUAAUACGUAGGGGGCAAGCGUUGUCCGGAAUAAUUGGGCGUAAAGGGCGCGUAGGCGGCAAGGCAAGUCAGCAGUGGAAGUCCCAUUUUCAAGGUGGGGAGGGCUGUUGAAACUGCGUUGCUUGAGUGCAGGAGAGGUUAUCGGAAUUCCCGGUGUAGCGGUGAAAUGCGUAGAGAUCGGGAGGAACACCAGUGGCGAAGGCGGGUAACUGGACUGCAACUGACGCUGGGGCGCGAAAGUGUGGGGAGCAAACAGGAUUAGAUACCCUGGUAGUCCACACUGUAAACGAUGAAUGCUAGGUGUAGGGGGUAUCGACCCCUUCUGUGCCGGAGUAAACACAAUAAGCAUUCCGCCUGGGGAGUACGGUCGCAAGAUUAAAACUCAAAGGAAUUGACGGGGGCCCGCACAAGCAGCGGAGCAUGUGGUUUAAUUCGAAGCAACGCGAAGAACCUUACCAGGUCUUGACAUCCAGGUAAAGCUUGAGAGAUCAGGUGUGCCUUCGGGCGAUCUGAGACAGGUGGUGCAUGGUUGUCGUCAGCUCGUGUCGUGAGAUGUUGGGUUAAGUCCCGCAACGAGCGCAACCCUUGCUGAUAGUUACUAACACGUAGAGGUGAGGACUCUAUCGGGACCGCCGGGGACAACUCGGAGGAAGGUGGGGACGACGUCAAAUCAUCAUGCCCCUUAUGACCUGGGCUACACACGUACUACAAUGGCGAUUACAAUGGGAAGCAAUAUCGCAAGGUGGAGCAAAUCCCCAAAAAUCGCCCCAGUUCAGAUUGCAGGCUGCAACUCGCCUGCAUGAAGUCGGAAUUGCUAGUAAUGGCAGGUCAGCAUACUGCCGUGAAUACGUUCCCGGGCCUUGUACACACCGCCCGUCACACCAUGAGAGCUGACAACACCCGAAGUCGGUAGUUUAACCGUAAGGAGGACGCCGCCGAAGGUGGGGUUGGUGAUUGGGGUGAAGUCGUAACAAGGUAGCCGUAG
rnacentral:rRNA from 1 species